rnacentral:rRNA from 1 species
AUACCUCAGUAACGGCGAGUGAAGCGGUAAAAGCUCAAAUUUGAAAUCUUCGGAAUUGUAAUUUGAUGGAUAAAAUUGCCAAGGACAAAAGUUCACUGGAAAGUGACGCCGUAGAGGGUGAUAGCCCCGUUUACGUCCACCGGCACUAUAAUUUUAUUCCAAAGAGUCGGGUUGUUUGGGAAUGCAGCUCAAAGUGGGUGGUAAAUUCCAUCUAAAGCUAAAUAUUGACGAGAGACCGAUAGCGAACAAGUACAGUGAUGGAAAGAUGAAAAGAACUUUGAAAAGAGAGUGAAACAGUACGUGAAAUUGUUGAAAGGGAAGGGGAGGGAAGAUGUUAAAGGGACUCCUUUGCUUAGCAAGGGAUCCCCCCUAAAGAGUCUUUCCUCUC